AACGAACGCUGGCGGCAGGCUUAACACAUGCAAGUCGAACGCCCCGCAAGGGGAGUGGCAGACGGGUGAGUAACGCGUGGGAAUCUACCGUACCCUACGGAAUAGCUCCGGGAAACUGGAAUUAAUACCGUAUACGCCCUACGGGGGAAAGAUUUAUCGGGGUAUGAUGAGCCCGCGUUGGAUUAGCUAGUUGGUGGGGUAAAGGCCUACCAAGGCGACGAUCCAUAGCUGGUCUGAGAGGAUGAUCAGCCACAUUGGGACUGAGACACGGCCCAAACUCCUACGGGAGGCAGCAGUGGGGAAUAUUGGACAAUGGGCGCAAGCCUGAUCCAGCCAUGCCGCGUGAGUGAUGAAGGUCUUAGGAUUGUAAAGCUCUUACACCGAUGAAGAUAAUGACGGUAGUCGGAGAGGAAGCCCCGGCUAACUUCGUGCCAGCCGCCGCCGUAA
rnacentral:rRNA from 1 species